rnacentral:rRNA from 1 species
CUGCGCCACGAAUGGUGAUCACGAUUAUUGGGUCUAGAGCGUCCGUAGCCGGUUUAGCAAGUUCCUGGUGAAAUCUAGCAGUAAACUGUUAGGCAUACUGGGAAAACUAUUAAACUUGAGAUCGGGAAAGGUCGGAGGUAGUCCAUGGGUAGGGGUUAAAUCCUUUAAUCCAUGGAGGACCACCGGUGGCGAAGGCGUCCGACUGGAACGAGUCUGACGGUGAGGGACGAAAGCGUGGGUAGCAAAUCGGAUUAGAGACCCGAGUAGUCC